UACGAAGGGGGCUAGCGUUGCUCGGAAUCACUGGGCGUAAAGCGCACGUAGGCGGAUUGUUAAGUCAGGGGUGAAAUCCUGGAGCUCAACUCCAGAACUGCCUUUGAUACUGGCGAUCUUGAGUCCGGGAAAGGUGAGUGGAACUGCGAGUGUAGAGGUGAAAUUCGUAGAUAUUCGCAAGAACACCAGUGGCGAAGGCGGCUCACUGGCUCGUAACUGACGCUCAUGCACGACAGCGUGGGGAUCAAACAGG
rnacentral:rRNA from 1 species